CUGUGGUCACCCGGACAGAAGUAGGGGAAGGAGAAUGAGUCACGAGCCUCAGGUGCAAAAUGUAAGUGAGAGCCAAAAAACCUAGUCAUCAAGGUAAAUGACAAUAAGUAAAACAAACAGUAUUCUAAUACAAUAUUCUUAGAAAUCAAAAUGAAUAAAGUCAGCCAUCAAAAGGGAAGCAGCACUGACAUGGGCUACAAUGGAGAUGAGCCUUAAAACAUCACACUCAGUGAGAGAAGCCAGGCACAAACGGCCACACACUGUGUGAUUUCCAUUCAUAGGAAAUGCCCAGAACACGCCAAUCCACAGAGACAGGAAGGAGACCCUUGGUUCCCGGGGGCUGCGGGAGGCAGGAGCAACUGCCCGGGAUGGGGUUUCUCUUGGGGGUGCUGAGAAUGUUUUGGAGCUAAACGGCAGUGAUGGCGGCGCAGUAUUGCAAAUAUACCAAAUGGCACUGGCUGGGCGCUGUGGCUCACCCGAAUUUCACCUCAAUUUUAAAAAACGAAUGCAAAUCUGGUUCGAG
rnacentral:lncRNA from 10 species